AAAAAAAAAGAAUAAGGACACACCCUGUCAAAGCCUAAGUCAAGCCCCAACAUCUCUUCCAAACUUAAGCCAGUUGGGGAAGGAAAUGCAAUUUUAGUAAAAAAGAGAACAAAAGGAGAAUGGGUGCACUGGACCAAUUUUACCUAAUGUUUAAUAUUGCUGAAGAUGGAUGUGGGGGAUGUUAUGAGGAUAAGGGGGAGUGUGAGGAAGGAGGAAGAGGAAAUAGCACAUGGGGAGGCCCAGACAUGAUGGAAGCUGGUUCCACAGAGCUAAGAAAAGAACUGUUUCACUGGUACCAAACCCAGAUUUUCUCUCAUUUUCACAUCUCUGAAAUCAGACAUCCCUUGCAAUGUAAGUUAUUUUACCAUUUUAAUUGGCAGAAUUGUUUUUUCUUAAUGUCACAUAAAAUAAUGGUGCAUCUUAUGGUUGAUAUUUCAGACUUACUGAAAUAUGGUAGUCAUGUUAGACUCGAGAAAAAGCAUAAGUUAAGAACUUACAGGAAGAAAGGCUGAAGAACUCAACAGGUGGGCACACCAUGCAUCUAGUAUUAAAGGGGUUGAAUUUUAUCCCAAGUAUAAUGAGAAGCCAUUAAAGGAUUUUAAUAGUGGACUAGCUUGAUCAGAUUUGUAUAUUUUGGAAAAUAACUGAUAUGGUUUGGAUAUCUGUCCCCUCCAAAUCUCAUGUCGAAAUUCCAUCCCCAGAGUCUCAGCCUUGCCACUGCCCAAAGACUGCUGAGUCCCUGUCCAUCCGCUGCCACCACCCACUCCGGACACAGAACAUCCAGUCAUGGAUAAAAAUGAGCUGGUUCAGAAGGUCAAACUGGCCAAGCAGGCUGAGCAAUAUGAUGACAUGACAGCCUGCAUGAAGUCUGUAACUGAGCAAGGAGCUGAAUUAUCCAAUGAGGAGAGAAUCUUCUCUCAGUUGCUUAUAAAAAUGUUGUAGGAGCCCGUAGGUCAUCUUGGAGGGUCGUCUCAAGUAUUGAACCAAAAAGACGGAAGGGGCUGAGAAAAAGCAGCAGAUGGCUCGUGAAUACAGACAGAAAAUUGAGAUGUAGCUAAGAGAUAUCUGCAAUGAUGUACUGUCUCUUUUGGAAAAGUUCUUGAUCCCCAAUGCUUCACAAGCAGAACAAAGUCUUCUAUUUGAAAAUGAAAGGAGAUUACUACCGUUACUUGGCUGAGGUUGCCGCUGGUGAUGACAAGAAAGGGACUGUGGAUCAGUCACAAGAAGCAUACCAAAAAGCUUUUGAAAUCAGCAAAAAGGAAAUGCAACCAACACAUCCUAUCAGACUGGGUCUGGCUCUUAACUUCUCUGUGUUCUAUUAUGAGAUUCUGAACUCUACAGAGAAAGCCUGCUCUCUUGCAAAGACAGCUUUUGAUGAAGCCAUUGCUGAACUUGAUACAUUAAGUGAAGAGUCAUACAAAGACAGCACACUAAUGCAAUUACUGAGAGACAACUUGACACUGUGGACAUCAGAUACCCAGGAGACGAAGCUGAAGCAGAAAAAGGCAGGGAAGAUUAACUGGCCUUCCAACUUUUGUCUGCCUUAUUCUAAAAUUUACACAGUAGACCAUUCCCGUUGUCAUCCAUGUGGUCCCACAAACUUUUUUGUUUACAACUUAUGACAGGUUUAUGUUACUUCUAUUUGAAUUUCUAUAUUUCCCAUAUGGUCUCUAUGUUUAAUAUUAGGGGAGUGGAGCCACUUAACAUUCAGGGAGUUAUCUGUUUUCAUCUUGAGGUGGCCAAUAUGGGGAUGUGGAAUUUUUAUACAAGUUAUAAAUGUUUGGUAUAGUACUUUUGGUACAUUGUGGCUUCACAAGGGCCGGUGUUAAAACUGCUUCCAUGUCUAAGCAAAGAAAACUGCCUACAUAUUGGUUUGUCCUGGUGGGGAAUAAAAGGGAUCAUUGGUUCCAGUCACAGGUGUAGUAAUUGUGGGUACUUUAAGGUAUGGAGCACUUACAAGGCUGUGGUAGAAACAGAUACCCCAUGGAUACCACAUGUUAAAUCAUGUACAUCUGUGGAAUAGUCAAUCUCACAACCUUUGACUACAACUGCAGAAGUGUUCCUUUAGACAAAGUUGUGAUGUAUUUUACUCUGGAUAAGGGCAGAAAUGGUUCACAUUGCAUUAUUUGUAAAGUUACCAGCUGUUAGCUUUCAUUAUUUUUGCUACACUCAUUUUAUUUGUAUUUAAAUGUGUUAGGCAACCUAAGAACAAAUGUAAAAGUAAAGAUGCAGUAAAAAUGAAUUGCUUUGAUCAUUACUUCAUAUAUAUCAAGCACAGCAGUAAAAAAAAAAAAAAAAAAAAAAAA